AGGGUUUGAUCCUGGCUCAGGAUGAACGCUAGCGGCAGGCCUAACACAUGCAAGUCGAGGGGCAGCACGUCUUCGGAUGGUGGCGACCGGCGCACGGGUGCGUAACGCGUAUGCAACCUACCCUGUACUGAGGUAUAGCCCGGAGAAAUUCGGAUUAACCCCUCAUAGUAUUAAGAGAUCGCAUGAUUUUUUAAUUAAAGGUUACGGUACAGGAUGGGCAUGCGUCCUAUUAGCUAGAUGGUAAGGUAACGGCUUACCAUGGCUACGAUAGGUAGGGGGCCUGAGAGGGUGGUCCCCCACACUGGUACUGAGACACGGACCAGACUCCUACGGGAGGCAGCAGUGAGGAAUAUUGGUCAAUGGGCGCAAGCCUGAACCAGCCCAUGCCGCGUGCAGGAAGAAUGCCCUAUGGGUUGCAAACUGCUUUUAUUUAGGAAUAAACCUUACUACGUGUAGUAAGCUGAAGGUACUGAAUGAAUAAGCACCGGCUAACUCCGUGCCAGCAGCCGCGGUAAUACGGAGGGUGCAAGCGUUAUCCCGGAAUCCUUGGGUUUAAAGGGUCC
rnacentral:rRNA from 1 species